rnacentral:rRNA from 1 species
UACGAAGGGGGCUAGCGUUGCUCGGAAUCACUGGGCGUAAAGGGCGCGUAGGCGGUGUGUCAAGUCAGGCGUGAAAGCCCCGGGCUCAACCUGGGAAUUGCGAUGGAGACUGCGAGGCUAGAGUGUGUCAGAGGGGGGGUAGAAUUCCACGUGUAGCAGUGAAAUGCGUAGAUAUGUGGAGGAACACCGAUGGCGAAGGCAGCCCCCUGGGAUAACACUGACGCUCAUGCACGAAAGCGUGGGGAGCAAACAG